rnacentral:rRNA from 1 species
ACGACCGCGGAUGAAUUGUGGCUCGUGGUGAAAUUCCAAUCGAGUCGGGUAAUAGCUGGUUCUCCUCGAAAUAGCUUUAGGGCUAGCCUCAGAACACUACAUUUUGGAGGUAGAGCACUGAAUGAAAGCGAGCCGCGCCAAGCGGUAUCAAUUUCAAUCAAACUCCGAAUUCCGAGAUGCUUAUUCUGGGAGUCAGACUGUGGGAGAUAAGUUUCAUGGUCAAAAGGGCAACAGCCCGGACCGCCAACUAAGGUCCCUAAAUUCGCGCUAAGUGUUAAAGGAUGUAGAGAUACUUAAACAGCUAGGAUGUUGGCUCAGAGGCAGCCAUCAUUUAAAGAAUGCGUAACAGCUCACUAGUCAAGUGUCUCCGCGCCGAAAAUUUACCGGGGCUAAGCGCGAUACCGAAGUUGCGGAUAUUUCUAAAGAAAUGUGGUAGGGGAGCGUUCCAUUAGCAUAGAAGCCAUACCGGAAGGAGUGGUGGAGCGAAUGGAAGUGAGAAUGCCGGCGUAAGUAACGAUAAGAGGUGAGAAUCCUCUUCACCAUUUGACUAAGGUUUCCUGGGCUAGGUUCGUCCACCCAGGGUCAGUCGGGACCUAAGACGAGGCCGAAAGGCGUAGCCGAUGGACAGCAGGUUAAUAUUCCUGAACCCGGUUGUGUGCGAUCGCAGUGACGAAAGCGGUUAGGUUUACCCACGAAUGGAAGUGUGGGGAGAUAGUGAUAAGCUGUCGGCUAGAAUCCGACACCAAGUGAAACACCGAAGUACGAAAGGGGUGACCUGAGUAGGAAGUAGCUGAUACCGAUUUCCAAGAAAAGCUGCUAGCUUAAGCACAAUCGGCCCGUACCGAGAACGGACACACGUGGUCAAGGAGAGUAUCCUAAGGUGAGCGAGAUAACUGUUGUUAAGGAACUCUGCAAAAUUACUUCGUAAGUUAGCGAGAAGAAGUGCUCCGUAAAAGGAGCCGCAGUGAAGAGGCCCAAGUAACUGUUUACCAAAAACACAGCUCUAUGCUAAGUCGUAAGACGAUGUAUAUGGGGUGAAGCCUGCCCGGUGCCGGAAGGUUAAUAGGAGAGGUGAAAGCUUUGAAUUGAAGCCCCGGUGAACGGCGGCCGUAACUAUAACGGUCCUAAGGUAGCGAAAUUCCUUGUCAGGUAAGUUCUGACCCGCAUGAAAGGCGUAAUGAUUUGGGCACUGUCUCAACAGCCCGCCCGGCGAAAUUGUAGUACCGGUGAAGAUGCCGGUUACCCGCGACAAGACGGAAAGACCCCAUGGAGCUUUACUGUAGCCUAAUAUUGGGUUUCGAUGUUGCAUGCACAGGAUAGAUGGGACACUGGGAAACAAUCGCUUUGGCGGUUGCGGAGUGGCCGUUGGGAUACCAUCCUUGCGAUAUUGGAAUUCUAACCUGCGGCUCUGAAUCGAGUCGGGGGACAUUGUUAGGUGGGCAGUUUGACUGGGGCGGUCGCCUCCUAAAAAGUAACGGAGGCGUUCAAAGGUUCGCUCAGCUUGAACGGAAAUCAAGCAAAAGAGUGCAAACGCAGAAGCGAGCCUAACUGCGAGACUGACGGGUCGAGCAGUAACGAAAGUUGGAGUUAGUGAUCCGGUGGUAUGUGAGUGGAAAUGCCAUCGCUCAACGGAUAAAAGCUACCCUGGGGAUAACAGGCUGAUCUCCCCCAAGAGUCCACAUCGACGGGGAGGUUUGGCACCUCGAUGUCGGCUCAUCGCAUCCUGGGGCUGUAUUCGGUCCCAAGGGUUUGGCUGUUCGCCAAUUAAAGCGGCACGCGAGCUGGGUUCAGAACGUCGUGAGACAGUUCGGUCCCUAUCCAUCGUGGGCGUAGGAGUCAUGAGAGGAGCUGUUCCUAGUACGAGAGGACCGGAAUGGACGCACCACUGGUGCAACUGUUGUCGUGCCAACGGCAUAGCAGGGAAGCGAAGUGCGGAUGGGAUAAACGCUGAAGGCAUCUAAGCGUGAAGCCCACCUCAAGAAUAAGACUCCACAAUAGACCCCUGGAGGACUACCAGGUAGAUAGGUCAUCGGUGGAAGCGCUGUAAGGCGUGCAGCUUGAUGAUACUAAUCGGUCGAAAGCUUCAUUUAA